GUCACCGAUUUGCUCUAAAGCGGUUGUUCUGUCGUGAGCUCGACUGUAUUGCAGAGUUUUUGAGGUGUGUGUUGCUAUUAGCAGAUAUGACGAAGUCUCAAGAAGACGGUGGUUGGUUUUCAACAGGAGGAACGCCGUCGCCCCCGCCCCCGCCUCCACCUAAUAACCCACUUCCGAAAAAUCCAAGUGGUUUUCGUGGUUCUUCUGAUCCCCACCGUCAAAAGAAGCUUCGAUACUGAUGCUGUCGUUGAAUUGCAUGCAUGACAAUGUGUAUGGAUUGCUACGAUGCUGUCUUGUUCUUAUGCAUUUUUAAUAUUUACUCGAUUUUGAUGUCUUUUGCUGAAUGUCGUGAGAAACAACGUUUGAUGUUUUAUGCAGUUAAAAUGUUGUCUUGCGUGAGUUAGUUGCAUGUCUUGCAGUAACAAAUACCUUGCAACACUGACUCAAAUUGACAUUCAGGAAAACAAAUAAAACAAAAUAUUGUCU